GACGAACGCUGGCGGCGUGCUUAACACAUGCAAGUCGAACGAAGUGGCGAACGGGUGAGUAACGCGUAAUAAACCUGCCCUUCAGCGGGGGACAACAGUUGGAAACGACUGCUAAUCCCGCAUACUGAAGGAGGGGAUUGCGUCUGAUUAGCUGGUUGGCGGGGUAACGGCCCACCAAGGCGAGGAUCAGUAGGCGGUCUGAGAGGAUGAACGGCCAAAAUGGGACGGAGACCCGGGCCAGAACCCUACGGGAGGCAGAAGGGGGGAAUCUUCCUAAAUGGACGAAAGUCUGAAGGAGCAACGCCGCGGGAGUGAUGACGGCCUUCGGGUUGUAAAGCUCUGUUAAUCGGGACGCGGUACCGGAAGAGAAAGCAACGGCUAACUACGUGCCAGCAGCCGCGGUAAUAC
rnacentral:rRNA from 1 species